CCCCUCUCAGCAUCGCACCUGGAGAGUUUCCCGUACUCUACUAGUCUCGGCUAUGGGAGGGAGAGUCAAGCAGAGGCCUGCCCAUUCCAUUCCUAGCUUGAGCAGUGGCUAGCGAGGGCAGGCAAUCUGCUACAAGU